CCUACGGGAGGCAGCAGUGGGGAAUAUUGCGCAAUGGGCGAAAGCCUGACGCAGCGACGCCGCGUGAGGGAUGAAGGUCUUCGGAUCGUAAAACUCUGUCAGCAGGGAAGAACGGUCACUGUGCUAAUCAGCAGUGAAUUGACGGGACCUGCAAAGGAAGCAUCGGCUAACUCCGUGCCAGCAGCCGCGGUAAUACGGAGGGUGCGAGCGUUAAUCGGAAUUACUGGGCGUAAAGCGCUCGUAGGCGGGAUGUCAAGUCAAGGGUGAAAUCCCCGCGCUCAACGUGGGAACUGCCUUUGAAACUGGCAAACUGGAGUGUGUGAGAGGAUAGUGGAAUGCCAGGUGUAGGAGUGAAAUCCAUAGAUAUCUGGAGGAACAUCAGUGGCGAAGGCGACUAUCUGGCACAUAACUGACGCUGAGGAGCGAAAGCGUGGGUAGCAAACAGGAUUAGAUACCCCAGUAGUC
rnacentral:rRNA from 1 species